GAUGAACGCUGGCGGCGUGCCUAAUACAUGCAAGUCGAGCGAACGGACGAGAAGCUUGCUUCUCUGAUGUUAGCGGCGGACGGGUGAGUAACACGUGGAUAACCUACCUAUAAGACUGGGAUAACUUCGGGAAACCGGAGCUAAUACCGGAUAAUAUUUUGAACCGCAUGGUUCAAAAGUGAAAGACGGUCUUGCUGUCACUUAUAGAUGGAUCCGCGCUGCAUUCGCUAGUUGGUAAGGUAACGGCUUACCAAGGCAACGAUUCAUAGCCGACCUGAGAGGGUGAUCGGCCACACUGGAACUGAGACACGGUCCAGACUCCUACGGGAGGCAGCAGUAGGGAAUCUUCCGCAAUGGGCGAAAGCCUGACGGAGCAACGCCGCGUGAGUGAUGAAGGUCUUCGGAUCGUAAAACUCUGUUAUUAGGGAAGAACAUAUGUGUAAGUAACUGUGCACAUCUUGACGGUACCUAAUCAGAAAGCCACGGCUAACUACGUG
rnacentral:rRNA from 1 species